rnacentral:rRNA from 1 species
GUAGGUGGCAAGCGUUGUCCGGAAUUAUUGGGCGUAAAGCGCGCGCAGGCGGUUCUUUAAGUCUGAUGUGAAAGCCCACGGCUCAACCGUGGAGGGUCAUUGGAAACUGGAGAACUUGAGUACAGAAGAGGAAAGCGGAAUUCCACGUGUAGCGGUGAAAUGCGUAGAGAUGUGGAGGAACACCAGUGGCGAAGGCGGCUUUCUGGUCUGUAACUGACGCUGAGGCGCGAAAGCGUGGGGAGCAAACGGGGGAUUAGAUACCCUGGUAGUCCACGCCGUAAACGAUGAGUGCUAAGUGUUAGGGGGGUUUCCGCCCCCUUAGUGCUGCAGCUAACGCAUUAAGCACUCCGCCUGGGGAUACGGCCGCAAGGCUG